rnacentral:rRNA from 1 species
AUGAACGUUGCACUCAUGCUUCGUUGGGUUUGGCGGAUCUUGCGGGGAGAUGUGGGUUUGUGGCUGCAGCUGAUUGAGUCCAAGUACUUGUAGGGUCAGCCCCUCUUGGCUUGCUCGCACUCGGCUGGGUCCCAGUUCUGGAAGUCUGUCCAGGCCAUGAAGGAUGAGAUUAGGCUGGGUUUGCGGUUCUCGGUUGGCAAUGGGUCUGGGACCCAGUUUUGGUUGGACCCCUGGCUUGAUGGGGAGAUCCGCAUUCGGGUUUCGAGGCUCUUUGUGAUUUGUGUCGACCCAGCUGUUCUUGUAUCUGAGGCUGCUUUAGAUGAGGGAUGGAACACUGCGUUCUGCCGCUCAUUCGGACUAGCCGAGGUGCAGGAAUAG